UACGUAGGGAGCGAGCGUUGUCCGGAUUCAUUGGGCGUAAAGAGCUCGUAGGCGGCUUGAUUAGUCGGAUGUGAAACCUCCAGGCUCAACCUGGAGUCGCCAUCCGAUACUGUCAUGGCUAGAGUCCGGUAGGGGCCCACGGAAUUCCUGGUGUAGCGGUGAAAUGCGCAGAUAUCAGGAGGAACACCGGUGGCGAAGGCGGUGGGCUGGGCCGGCACCGACGCUGAGGAGCGAAAGCGUGGGGAGCGAACAGG
rnacentral:rRNA from 1 species